rnacentral:rRNA from 1 species
GACGAACGCUGGCGGCGUGCUUAACACAUGCAAGUCGAACGGAAAGGCCCUGCUUUUGUGGGGUGCUCGAGUGGCGAACGGGUGAGUAACACGUGAGUAACCUGCCCUUGACUUUGGGAUAACUUCAGGAAACUGGGGCUAAUACCGGAUAGGAGCUCCUGCUGCAUGGUGGGGGUUGGAAAGUUUCGGCGGUUGGGGAUGGACUCGCGGCUUAUCAGCUUGUUGGUGGGGUAGUGGCUUACCAAGGCUUUGACGGGUAGCCGGCCUGAGAGGGUGACCGGCCACAUGGGGACUGAGAUACGGCCCAGACUCCUACGGGAGGCAGCAGUGGGGAAUAUUGCAGAAUGGGCGGAAGCCUGAGGCAGCAACGCCGCGUGCGGGAUGACGGCUUUCGGGUUGUAAACCGCUUUCGCCUGUGACGAAGCGUGAGUGACGGUAAUGGGUAAAGAAGCACCGGCUAACUACGUG